rnacentral:lncRNA from 12 species
AUGAGAGACACAGAGAGGCAGAGACAUAGGCAGAGGGAGAAGCAGGCUCCCUGGGAGGAGCCCGAUGUGGGACUCGAUCCCGGGAUCCCAGGGUCACACCCUGAGCCAUGGGCAGACACUCAACUGUUGGGCCACUCAGGUAUCCCUUGCUGUAGGUUAAUAACUGACUUACUAUAUGGAUUUAAGGGGCAGAUGUUACUACUGUUCUCAUCACACUGGCAGUACCAUCGCCCUUCCAUCAUGGGUAUCUGGAGGGAUGUGAAGCCAGUGGUCUACCUUCGAAGAGGAAAAGGUGAAACAGGCCUCCUGAAGGAUUAUCGUAGUUGUUGUGGGAUUAGUUAGACCAGCUCUGUCCACUCCGGCAGCCACUGGCCACAUGUGGUUUUUGAGCACUUAGACUGUGCUACAGCCAAAUCAAGAUGUGCUGCACAAACAUACUGGCUUCUGGGGAUUUAGCACGACAAGAGAACGCAAAAUAUUUCAUUAAUAAUUUUAAGUAUUGAUCCUAUGUUACAAAUAUUAUUUUGGUUACAUUCGACUAAAUACAAUCUGUUAUUAAAAUGAGUUUCACUUGUUCUUCUUUUCUCUCUCUCUCUCCUUUUUUUUUUUUUUAAACUUUUCUUUUACUGCGGCUGCUAGAAACUUCAAAAUCACCCCCUCCCCCACAUCCCCCCGUGACUUCUAUCCCCUUGCCAUUGCUUAGAGCUGGGUCAGCCCCUCAGAACUGUUUUGUACCUCCAACUUUCUGUAGAAACUUGAGUAUUGGGUCGACUGGGUGGGUUGCUCAGUGGUUGGCGCUUGCCUUCUGCUCAGGGCGUGAUCCUGGGGUCCUGGGAUCGAGUCUUGCAUCAGGCUCCCUGCAUGGAGUCUGCUUCUCCCCCUGCCUGUGUCUCUGCCUCUCUCUGUGUGUCCCUCAUGAAUAAAUAAACACAAUCUUUAAAAAACA